rnacentral:lncRNA from 1 species
GAAGUCCUACCAAUGUAGGCAACAAGAUUGAGUUGCUUUGAGGUCAAAUCGAAGUAACUCAGUUCAUGAUCCUCAAAAUUCAAAUCCCUGUAUCUUUUUUUUUUUGGUUGGCUGAAGUCCUACCAAUGUAGGCAACAAGAUUGAGUUGCUUUGAGGUCAAAUCGAAGUAACUCAGUUCAUGAUCCUCAAAAUUCAAAUCCCUGUAUCUUUUUAUAUACUUGGAAUUGAAGAAAAUUGAGGUCAGAUUCGUGAUUCUGAACAUUUUCUCUUUGAAAUAGUGUCCUUGUUUUUCAUUUUUCAUUGAGUUGAAG